GAUGAAGAACGUAGCGAAAUGCGAUAAGUAAUGCGAAUUGCAGAAUUCCAGUGAGUCAUCGAAUCUUUGAACGCACAUUGCGCCCUUUGGUAUUCCGAAGGGCUUGCCUGUUCGAGCGUCAUUAUCACCCCUCAAGCCCUCGGCUUGGUGUUGGACGGUUUGGUGGAGGCCCCCUCGGGGGCUCCUGCCCCUCCCAAAGACAAUGACGGCGGCCUCGUUGGACCCCCGGUACACUGAGUUCUUCACGGGACACGUAUCGGACACAUGGGUUUACGGGACACGGUCUGCCUCCCCUCAGGGAGAAUCUUUCUAAGGUUGACCUCGGAUCAGGUAGGGAUACCCGCUGAACUUAAGCAUAUCAAUAAGCGGAGGA
rnacentral:misc_RNA from 1 species